rnacentral:rRNA from 1 species
GAUGAACGCCGGCGGCGUGCCUAAUACAUGCAAGUCGAGCGAACAGACGAGGAGCUUGCUCCUCUGAUGUUAGCGGCGGACGGGUGAGUAACACGUGGAUAACCUACCUAUAAGACUGGGAUAACUUCGGGAAACCGGAGCUAAUACCGGAUAAUAUUUUGAACCGCAUGGUUCAAUAGUGAAAGACGGUUUUGCUGUCACUUAUAGAUGGAUCCGCGCUGCAUUAGCUAGUUGGUAAGGUAACGGCUUACCAAGGCAACGAUGCGUAGCCGACCUGAGAGGGUGAUCGGCCACACUGGAACUGAGACACGGUCCAGACUCCUACGGGAGGCAGCAGUAGGGAAUCUUCCGCAAUGGGCGAAAGCCUGACGGAGCAACGCCGCGUGAGUGAUGAAGGUCUUCGGAUCGUAAAACUCUGUUAUUAGGGAAGAACAAAUGUGUAAGUAACUAUGCACGUCUUGACGGUACCUAAUCAGAAAGCCACGGCUAACUACGUG